rnacentral:tRNA from 1 species
UACGUUCAAGUAUAAGUUGUACAGGAACUUUUGAUGUUUAAAGAGAUGGUUAAAUUCCAUCGAACGUAA